AACAGAAUAAGUCAUGACUUCCUGAGUUAGGCCUGGUACACACAUUUUUCCACUCAAAUGUAUUUAUUUUUUUAAUCUCCUACAGACCCCACACAAAGAUAAAAAAAUCAGCCAUUCAACAGUUUUGGUCAUAGCGUGUGGCGUGCUCCGAGAAUCUCAAAACAGCAGACCACACACAAAGAUUGUGUUGCACUGCCAAUCUCUAAGUCUUGCGUGAUGACACAUGAUCUCACAAAACUGAUGAAAAAGAAAGAUUUCUGGUUUGGCGCCGAUGUUUUCUGAACGUUGCUGAAGGUUGCUGGAGUAGAGAGCCAUUGUAAAAUGGGAAUGUUCUCAAAAAACGACUUGCUUUGGAAAAGACCUCUUGCCGUCGAGGGAACCCACUUUUAUACAAAAAAACGACAUCGGUUUGGUUCCCAGUUUCGAUGCCUAGUCCUCCAGCAGCGAAGAAGAAGUGGCGAAAAGCAACGAAGAAGCGGCGUAAACCAACGAAGAAGAAUGGGAUGAUGACGUGCUUGUGCCCAACGGCAGCGGCAGCGAACAAAGGGUGUCUUAACUUUGUUAAAAUGAAUGAUCAGUCGCCUCAGCCUACACCGCGUGGAGCUUCAGUGAAAUCAACUUUCAGUCAAUUGGUGAAGUCGUGACCUUCGAUCCCUUGGCGGCACUGCAUCAAAAACCGACAUCAAUCUGGAAAGGAUAUCACCACAUGGGCUCAGGAACACUUCAGAAAACCAAUGUCAGUAAAUACAGUUCGGCGCUACAUCCGUAAGUGCAACUUGAAACUCUACUAUGCAUAGCAAAAGCCAUUUAUCAACAACACCCAGAAACUCUGCCGGCUUCUCUGGGCCCGACCUCAUCUAAGAGGGAUUGAUGCAACGUGGAAAAGUUUUCUGUGGUACGACGAGUCCACAUUUCAAAUUCUUUUUGGAAAUUGUGGACGUCGUGUCCUCCGGGCCAAAGAGGAAAAGAACCAUCCGGACUGUUAUGGACGCAAAGUUCCAAAGCCAGCACGGGUAUCUUGCACAUCUGUGAAGGCACCAUUAAUGCUGAAAGUUUAACUCGACGUUCCAACUUCAUUGGACUUGGGGUUGCAGUUGGAACACAGCCUCAGGAACCCCUUCUUAAAAAGGGAGCCCACCACCCCAGUCUGCCAACCCAGAGGCACUGUCCCAGAUGUCCACGCAAUGUCGCAGAGGCGUCUCAACCAGGACAACCCUAUAACAUCCAGAGCCUUCAGGAACUCCGGGCAGAUCUCAUCCACCCCUGGGGCCUUGCCACAGAGGAGCUUUUUAACCACCACUGUGACUUCAACCCAAGAGAUAAGGGAACCAACCUCAGAGUCCCCAGACUCUGCUUCCUCCUGGGAAAGCGUGUCGGUAGAAUUGAGGAGGUCUUCAAAGUAUUUGGCCCACCGAUUCACAAUGUCCCGAGUUGAGGUCAGCAGUGCCCCAUCCCCACAAUACACAGUGUUGAUGGUGCACUGCUUCCACCUCCUUAGACGCCGGAUGGUGGAUCAGAAUUUCCUCAAAGCCGUCGGGAAGUCACUUUUCAUGGCCUCACCGAACUCGCCACCCCUGGGUUUUUAAAUCAGCGACCACUAAAGCUGCGUUCCCCUUGGCCAGCCAGUACCAAUCAGCUGCCUCCGGAGUCCCAUAGGCCAAAAAGGCCUGAUAGGACUCCUUCUUCAGCUUGACGGCAUCCUUUACUGCUGGUGUCCCCCAACAGGUUCAGUGAUUGCCGCCACGACAGGCACCAACCACCUUCCAGCCACAGCUCCUGUAGGCAGCCUCAACAAUGGAGGUGUGGAACAUGGUACCCUCGGAAACAAUGUCCCCCGCCUCCCCUGGGACGUGGGUGAUGUUCUGCUGGAGGUGGGAGUUGAGACUCCUUCUGACAGGGAACUCUCCCAGACCUUCCCAGCUGAACCUCACAAUAUGUUUGGGUCUGCCAGGUCGGACUGGCAUCUUCCCCCACCAUUGGCGCCAACUUACCACGAGGUGGUGAUCGGUUUCG